GGCAAGAGGUAGCAAUAGCAGCAGCAGCAUCAGUAGCAGCAGCAGCAUCAGUAGCAGCAGCAGCAGCAGGCAGACACGACCUGUGGAAGAACGACGAACAGUGGACGACGGCCGAGCCAAAUGUAGUUGGCCAAGAAGCCAAAUGAGUUUGCUUCUAUUAUUACACUCCACCCAGCCGUGAUCCACCGAGAAGAGGAGAGCCACGCGAGCCCAUGAGCCAUGAGCUACGACGACCAGCCACUACGGGACCCAGCAGACUAUCCUCCUCCUUUAUCUCUAUUUCUUUUUCUCUCUUUCUCUGUCUGUCCUUCCCUUAAUCCAUCCAUCCAUCCAUCUUAUUCUCUCUCUCUUUCUCUCUCUGUCUUUCUGUCUCUCUCUCUCUCUCUCUCUCUCUCUCUCUCUCUCUCUCUCUCUCUCUCUCUCUCUCUCUCUCUGUCUGUUUGUCUGUCUGUCUUUCUUUAUUUCUUUUUUAUUCUUACACUGUUAAAUCCGACGAGACGACGUCGAAUUACAGACUGUAACCGGACCAAAAACAUGUAUUUAUUCUUAUUCCAUUUCAUCCUUGAUCCAUUCGAUACAAUGCGACACAGGCUGAAUCAAAAGUUUUUUCCUAGAACGACCACACCUGCCCGCACCUAAAACCAUUGUAAAUCGUGAAACGUCAAAUGCUUACUAGUACCUACGUAUCUAUAAACGAACGGGAGGAGAGGGGGGGAAUGGAAGGAAGAGGAAAAAGAGAAAAAAGUGAACAAAAAAAAAAAAAAAAUAUCAAAACCGACUAAGUCAUUAUCUUUGUAACUUGCUAAUUAACUGAAUACCUUACUAUAUAUGAAACGAAACGAUAUAAGAAAGAAAAAAAAAAAAUUCAUGAAUUCCAUUAGAAACAUAAAUGGUAUUAUCGGCGAAACACAUAACUUAUCAAAAAAAAAAAAAAAAAAAAAAAAAAAAAAGAAAGAAACUUCGUUCGAUAAAAGAAAAAGAGGGGAGAAAGAAAAAAGAAAGAGAAAGAAGAAAAAAAGAAAAAGAAACAGAGAAAAAGAUUGUACGCAUAUAACUCAUACGUUAAUCUUAAUGACUCGAGUUAAGUGCCUGCUAUUUGCAAAGCUGAAAACGAAGGCCGAAAUGACAAAAAAAAA